UGCCUCUCAGGAUCGCACCUGGAGAGUUUCCAGCAUUCUACCAGUCUCAGCUAUGGGAAGGAGAGUCAAGCAGAGGCAUACCUAUUCUAUUCCUACCUUGGGCAGUGGCUAGUGAACGGAAGGCAAUCUGCUACAAGU